CCCAUUAUCUGUGAUUUAAGGCAUUUAUUAAAUCUAAAAAAAUUAUUUUGGGAAGAUUAGAGAGAAGGAAGAGGAAUAAUUGAACAAUCAUUUUUACCAGGUAUAAUUUGGUGUGCAAAUCUAAGAAAUAUGAUUGGUUGCUAAUGACAUCCAGUAAGAAAAAGUUCGAUUUGUAUAAGAUUGGUCGAUUUCGUCAUGAGCAUACGUGUCCUUUAAAGGAUCGGGUGUAUGAGCAAAAACAUGUUAGUAGUUCAACGAUUGAAGGAAUUGUUAAGCAAAAUGUAUCCAACCAUAAAAGAUUAUAUACGGUUAAACACAUACAAGAGGAUAUUAAGAAUGAUCUUGGAUUGGAUCUGACUUAUACAAUGGCCUGGAGGGCUAGGGAGAAAGCUUUGAUUUCAUUGAGGGGUACAACGUAUGCUUCAUACAACAGAUUGCCAGAAUAUUUAUACAUGUUGGAAAAAAACAUACCCUGAUUCGCAUAUACGGAUGAAAAAAAAAAGAUAAUGAAUUCCUAUAUGUUUUUAUAUCGUUGUAUUCUUCAAUUAAAGAAUUUGAUUCAUGUAGACCAAUUGUUGUUGUUGAUGGAAGUUACCUUAGGGGAAUAUAUAAUGAAACUUUUGUGUCAGCUAUUA